rnacentral:rRNA from 1 species
GCGCACCAGGCGAGAAUUUUUCACAAUGGGGGAAACCCUGAUGGAGCGACGCCGCGUGGAGGAUGAAGGCGUUUUCGUCGUAAACUCCUGUCAAACGGGAACAAGAAAGUGAUAGUACCGUUAGAGGAAGAGGCGGCUAACUCUGUGCCAGCGGCCGCGGUAAUACAGAGGCCUCAAGCGUUGUUCGGAUUCAUUGGGCGUAAAGGGUGCGUAGGUGGCUUGGUAAGUUGAAGGUGAAAUCUCGGGGCUUAACUCCGAAACUGCCUUCAAUACUGCCGAGCUCGAGGAUUGUAGAGGAGAAUGGAAUUCACGGUGUAGCAGUGAAAUGCGUAGAUAUCGUGAGGAAGACCAGUGGCGAAGGCGAUUCUCUGGGCAAUUCCUGACACUGAGGCACGAAGGCUAGGGGAGCAAACGGGAUUAGAUACCCCCGUAGU